rnacentral:rRNA from 1 species
GACAGAGGGUGCAAACGUUGUUCGGAAUUACUGGGCGUAAAGCGCGUGUAGGCUGCUUGGAAAGUCGGAUGUGAAAGCCCUGGGCUCAACCUAGGAAGUGCAUUCGAAACUUCCAAGCUCGAGUUUCGGAGAAGAAGGCGGAAUUCUCGGUGUAGAGGUGAAAUUCGUAGAUAUCGAGAGGAACAUCGGUGGCGAAGGCGGCCUUCUGGACGAUGACUGACGCUGAGACGCGAAAGCGUGGGGAGCAAACAGG